rnacentral:rRNA from 1 species
AGACCCGAAACCCGGUGAUCUAGCCAUGGGCAGGUUGAAGGUUGGGUAACACUAACUGGAGGACCGAACCGACUAAUGUUGAAAAAUUAGCGGAUGACUUGUGGCUGGGGGUGAAAGGCCAAUCAAACCGGGAGAUAGCUGGUUCUCCCCGAAAGCUAUUUAGGUAGCGCCUCGUGAAUUCAUCUCCGGGGGUAGAGCACUGUUUCGGCAAGGGGGUCAUCCCGACUUACCAACCCGAUGCAAACUGCGAAUACCGGAGAAUGUUAUCACGGGAGACACACGGCGGGUGCUAACGUCCGUCGUGAAGAGGGAAACAACCCAGACCGCCAGCUAAGGUCCCAAAGUCAUGGUUAAGUGGGAAACGAUGUGGGAAGGCCCAGACAGCCAGGAUGUUGGCUUAGAAGCAGCCAUCAUUUAAAGAAAGCGUAAUAGCUCACUGGUCGAGUCGGCCUGCGCGGAAGAUGUAACGGGGCUAAACCAUGCACCGAAGCUGCGGCAGCGACACUGUGUGUUGUUGGGUAGGGGAGCGUUCUGUAAGCCUGUGAAGGUGUGCUGUGAGGCAUGCUGGAGGUAUCAGAAGUGCGAAUGCU